GAUGAACGCUAGCGGCAGGCUUAAUACAUGCAAGUCGAGGGGCAGCACGGGGGCAACCCUGGUGGCGACCGGCAAACGGGUGCGGAACACGUACGCAACCUUCCCAUAACUGGUGAAUAGCCUUUCGAAGAGAGAUUAAUACACCGUAACAUAAUGAAGAGGCAUCUCUUUGUUAUUAUAGGCAGCAAUGUCGGUUUUGGUAGUGGGCGUGCGCCUGAUUAGGUAGUUGGCGGGGUAACGGCCCACCAAGCCUGCGAUCAGUAACUGGUGUGAGAGCACGACCAGUCACACGGGCACUGGAGACGACGGGCCCGACUCCGUACGGGGAGGCAGCAAGUAAGGAAUAUUGGUCAAUGGACGCAAG
rnacentral:rRNA from 1 species